rnacentral:lncRNA from 1 species
GGAGGCUGGAAUUUCAGGGAAGACCUAAAAAGCUGCAAAGACAGUGGAGAAACCUGCAACUCACCCCGUCUGUGAAGAAGCUCCGGAGCAACGGCAGGCUGGCCCAGAAGCCUUCCAGCGGGGGAGGCACACUGUCCCAUGCAUAGAGGACCCCCAAGGCCAAAAGCCCUGCCCCAGAGCAGCUGGCCAGGGUGGCUGUGGCCACCCCACCCCAUGUCCAGACAGGGCCUCACCGCAGAACCUGGCCCUCGUCGCGGAAGGUGUUGAGUCCAUCAUCGCAGGACUUGGAGCGCUCCGUGGUGAUGGCCAGCAGACCAAGAGCCUCCUGAGGGCAGGGACAGCGUCUUCCCCAUCAGACUGAGAGCUUCCUAAGGGCAAAAGCUCCCCCAUCAGCUGGGGCUCCUCGAGGGCAGAGAUGACAUCUCCCAUCAAACAGAGUGUGCUCUGGAAGAAGAGACUGCCUCUCCCGGCCACAGCCUAGAGCCUUUCAUCAGGGAUCAGUGGUGUGGAUGGGGCCCUUGAGACAAUCCAGUGAGAUCUGGAAGUGAAGAAAAAGAUUAUAAUCUGGGAUAAAUAUAAAAAAUUACAAUAAAAAUUUUAUUGCAAAUUUACAAAUUAUGGUUGUUUAUAUGUACAUGGUAAAGGGCAAUGUUAUGAUUUGUUAAUACAAUAUGAAAUAACUAAGAUAAUUAAGAAAUAACUGAUAUAAUUAUCAUUCAUUGUUUCAAAUUUUUAUCUUUUAUUGUGACAACAUUUAACAUUUACUCUUAGCUCUUUAAAAUGACCAAUGUACUAUUUUAAAUGAACCAAUAGAAACCAAUUUAUGUAAACAAUUGAAAAUCUGGGAAAUCAAUUAUGAAUUACUGUAAUAAUUUAAUAAUUAAAAGUUAAUAAUGUAGUUAAUUAAGUUUGAUUUUUUCAAACUUUUUUUAUCAUUUCAUUGUAAUAUUUAAUACAAAUGCCUACAUAUAUAUGCAUUGGUCUGUGUAUUUAUACAUCUUUCUAUGGGUAUAAAUUUUUGUCCCUAUAGCUAUGUAGUUGCUGAUGUCAACAAAUGUUAAUAAAACUCUGGAAGAAUCAGUGCAAACAAUUAGGAAUGUUUAUUUCUUGAA